UUAAAAACAGCCGCAACGGACAAUCAGAGAAACGAAAAUAGAGUCACCGCGGCCGCUGAAAUUUCGAGCGUCUUUUGAAUUUGACGCAGCGACUGUAAAAGAUGGAGGAUGCGGUUGUUUUACCAAAACCCAGCGACAUCAAUUAAUGACGAUGCCGUAAAAGAUACUUAUUUCCUUCGUAGUUUUUGAAACGCCGAAGCUGCCGCGGCGUCUCCAAAAAGAACAGGA
rnacentral:lncRNA from 1 species